rfam:Salmo salar isolate Sally breed double haploid chromosome ssa20, whole genome shotgun sequence.
CGAGUGGCCUUUCUCAAGGCCAUCCCAUUUCAUAAUGACAUGCAUU